ACCUUGGUGGGAUCAGGAAUUAGAAAACUUAAAGCAUGACAAAUAUGCAGCACUCAGAGCCCAUAGAGAUCACAGUGCAGACUUUGAUAUCUUCAGACAGUUACGAGCACUCUUCAAAUGUACAUUUAAGCAAAAAAGAUAAUUACAUUUCCAAAAUAAACAGAAAGAUGAACUAGUAGCAGCAAGCACUAACCCUAAAUUAUUUUGGAAAACACUUAAAAAAUGCAGAUCUUCACCACAACUUUCAUCCAAUAUCUCAUGCUAACAGUGGACAGAUCACUUCUCAGAUCUGUUGUGCAUUAAAACUCCUCAAAACACACCAGAACAUUUACCUUCACCUUUACAUUCUACAAGCAACACUGAUUCUUUUUUUAACCAACCAUUUUCCGAACAAGAAAUAUCUACAACAAUCCUCUCUUUGCCAAAUCGUAAAGCUCCUGGACCAGGCGGAAUUGCUAAUGAAUUUUUAAAGGAGUCGAGAAGUUUCAUUGUCCCUACUCUCACUGUUCUUUUUAACAAAAUUUAUGACUCUGGCUAUUUCCCUCCCAGUUGGGGUAAGAGCAUAAUUUGCCCUUUGUUGAAAUCUGGCGACAAGAACGACCCUGA